GAUGAACGCUAGCGGGAGGCUUAACACAUGCAAGCCGAGGGAGAAGUUGUUUUCGGACUCCGGACACCGGCGGACGGGUGAGUAACAUGUAUGCAACUUGCCUCUAUCAGUGGGAUAACCCGGGGAAACCCGGACUAAUACCGCAUAACAAAUGGAUCAGCAUUGAUUUAUUUUAAAAGAUUUAUCGGAUAGAGAUAGGCAUGCGUAGGAUUAGUUAGUUGGUGAGGUAACGGCUCACCAAGACGAUGAUCCUUAGGGGGCCUGAGAGGGUGAUCCGCGACACUGGAACUGAGAGACGGUCCAGACUACUAAGGGAGGCAGCAGUGGGGAAUAGUGGACAAUGGGCGCAAGCAUGAGCAAGCAAUACCGCGUGGGUGAAGAAGGACUUAGGGUGGUAAAGCAAUGUUGUUGGGAAAGAAAAGCAGCAGGUGAAUACCCAGCUGUUCUGACGGUACACAAAGAAGAAGAAACGGCUAACUUAGGG
rnacentral:rRNA from 1 species